UACGAGGGGGCAAGCGUUGUUCGGAAUUAUUGGGCGUAAAGGGCGCGUAGGCGGUUUGACAAGUCUGAUGUGAAAUCUAUGGGCUCAACCCAUAGCCUGCAUUAGAAACUGUCGGGCUUGAGUAUGGGAGAGGUGAGUGGAAUUCCUGGUGUAGCGGUGAAAUGCGCAGAUAUCAGGAGGAACACCGGUGGCGAAGGCGGUUCUCUGGGCCUUACCUGACACUGAGGAGCGAAAGCGUGGGGAGCGAACAGG
rnacentral:rRNA from 1 species